GUGGGGAAUAUUGGACAAUGGGGGGAACCCUGAUCCAGCCAUGCCGCGUGUGUGAAGAAGGCCUUUUGGUUGUAAAGCACUUUAAGCGAGGAGGAGGCUACUUAGAUUAAUACUCUAGGAUAGUGGACGUUACUCGCAGAAUAAGCACCGGCUAACUCUGUGCCAGCAGCCGCGGUAAUACAGAGGGUGCAAGCGUUAAUCGGAUUUACUGGGCGUAAAGCGCGCGUAGGUGGCCAAUUAAGUCAAAUGUGAAAUCCCCGAGCUUAACUUGGGAAUUGCAUUCGAUACUGGUUGGCUAGAGUAUGGGAGAGGAUGGUAGAAUUCCAGGUGUAGCGGUGAAAUGCGUAGAGAUCUGGAGGAAUACCGAUGGCGAAGGCAGCCAUCUGGCCUAAUACUGACGCUGAGUACGAAAGCAUGGGGAGCAAACAGGAUUAGAAACCCGGGUAGUCC
rnacentral:rRNA from 1 species